rnacentral:rRNA from 1 species
GACGAACGCUGGCGGCGUGCCUAAUACAUGCAAGUAGAACGCUGAAGGAGGAGCUUGCUUCUCUGGAUGAGUUGCGAACGGGUGAGUAACGCGUAGGUAACCUGCCUGGUAGCGGGGGAUAACUAUUGGAAACGAUAGCUAAUACCGCAUAAUAGCAGUUGUUGCAUGGCAACUGUUUGAAAGGUGCAAUUGCACCACUACCAGAUGGACCUGCGUUGUAUUAGCUAGUUGGUGGGGUAACGGCUCACCAAGGCGACGAUACAUAGCCGACCAGAGAGGGUGAACGGCCAAACUGGGACUGAGACCCGGCCCAGACUCCUACGGGAGGCAGCAGGAGGGGAUCUUCGGCGAGGGACGGAAGUCUGACCGAGCAACGCCGAGUGAGAGAAGAAGGUUUUCGGAUCGUAAAGCUCUGUUGUAAGGGAAGAACGAGUGUGAGAGUGGAAAGUUCACACUGUGACGGUAACUUACCAGAAAGGGACGGCUAACUACGUG